rnacentral:misc_RNA from 1 species
GCCUCAACGCCAUUUAUGACUCUGCCAAUUAAAUUCAAAAGCUUCAAACUUGAAUUUGCCACAAGCAUUGACCAUGGUUCCAUGUUUAUGGCUCAAUCCUACUAAUAUAAAUGUUGAGAAAGGAUUGAAUUUAGAAUCCAACAGCCACCGAGAUAUGAAAGCUCUUAGAAACAAUCAAAUAUAUAAAAAAUUUUGAACGCAUUUGUUUAUGUUUCAUACAAUUAAUCAAGUAUAAGAUGAUUUAUUUUAAACUACUAUUUCUCAGUGUCAUUUUGUCGAACAAUUGAAUAGCAACAAGUUGAAAAGCCACUAGGAAACAGGCAGGGUAAAAAGCUACAAGCACUGACAAAGGUAAAGGAUGCCACCUCGAAAAAAAUGAGUAAAUGAGAACAUAAGAUUCAGUGUGCAAGCUAGGAGCUUUGAGUUUCUAACUUGUUUAUGGAAAUGGAGAGUCCGGUGGUGGCAAGGAUUAGAGUAAUAGCUGUUGAAAUUAUGUUGUUUAAGGUUAGAGAGGGUACAAUAACAUUUAAAUGGUGGAUUAUACGACUGUGGUGGUGGUGCUACGGCGAUGGUGAGAGAAAGUAAGCAAGCACUGAUUUGCUAAAUGGGCUGGGAGGUUUUGGGUUUUUGAUCAACAGUAAAACCCUUGAAUUUCAGAGACCACUAGACUUUGGCCACAAAUGGGCCAACCAAUAUCCCCAAAAGCGUCACCACCCCUGCAGCCCUGCUGUUCUGCCUCUCUGUUUGCCAUGACAGAGACAGAGAUGCUUACUGUUCUGUUUCUGAAGUGCUUGCUACUUCUAUGCUUAUGGGUAGGGGAGCAUUCGAUUGGUUCGAUUUUCAAUUAAACUGAACUAAAUCGCUCAGUAUGAUUCUGUUAAGUUCGGUUUAAAACAAACCGAAUUUAUCAAAAAUCGACAUACUAUACAUACAUAAAAAUCAAUUCAGUGAAGUGAUGAUUUCUUUCUUAUAUACAAUUUAAUAUUUACAAGCAUCACAUUGACAGGAUAAUAUGUUAGAUAAUUAAAUCAAAAGAAAGCAUGAAGCAGAGCAUAUGUUCCACAGUUGUCCUUAAUCAAGAAAGAAAAAAGAAAAAUGAUCACAAGGAAGUGGAAAAAAAAAUAUCAGCAGAAAUGCUAAUGCUUCUCCAA